rnacentral:rRNA from 1 species
GAUGAACGCUAGCGGGAGGCCUAACACAUGCAAGCCGAGCGGUAGAGAUCUUUCGGGAUCUUGAGAGCGGCGUACGGGUGCGGAACACGUGUGCAACCUGCCUUUAUCUGGGGGAUAGCCUUUCGAAAGGAAGAUUAAUACCCCAUAAUAUACUGAAUGGCAUCAUUCGGUAUUGAAAACUCCGGUGGAUAGAGAUGGGCACGCGCAAGAUUAGAUAGUUGGUGAGGUAACGGCUCACCAAGUCUACGAUCUUUAGGGGGCCUGAGAGGGUGAUCCCCCACACUGGUACUGAGACACGGACCAGACUCCUACGGGAGGCAGCAGUGAGGAAUAUUGGACAAUGGGUGAGAGCCUGAUCCAGCCAUCCCGCGUGAAGGACGACGGCCCUAUGGGUUGUAAACUUCUUUUGUAUAGGGAUAAACCUACCCUCGUGAGGGUAGCUGAAGGUACUAUACGAAUAAGCACCGGCUAACUCCGUGCCAGCAGCCGCGGUAAUACGGAGGGUGCAAGCGUUAUCCGGAUUUAUUGNGUUUAAAGGGUCCGUAGGCGGAUCUGUAAGUCAGUGGUGAAAUCUCACAGCUUAACUGUGAAACUGCCAUUGAUACUGCAGGUCUUGAGUGNUGUUGAANUANCUGGAAUAANUAGUGUAGCGGUGAAAUGCAUAGAUAUUACUUAGAACACCAAUUGCGAA